GAGUCGCAGACGGUCAAGCACAUAUACUAACACUCUUUAUUCACAACUGUGGCUGAAAUUUUAUCCCAUAUGCUCACCAAUUCUGUGUAGUCGGGUUGGCUUUAGGGAAUUAAGCUUAAAAAGGAGUGCCCAAAAGGAGUGCCCUGAGCCCACAUUCUCUUUACAUAUGACUCCCUAUUCUUUCUUGUUACUAACCCUGAUUGAACUGCAGAUGUUCGAAAAAGAUUCUUGACUGUAUUGCAUUGCUCGGUUUAUCGGAUUAUCUUGCAAAAAUCCAGUAUAUGAUUCAGUCCUAACACAGGUGCAGAGUUCAGAACAGAGUGAACAAGAAGCACCACCCUCCAAUUUUGAGCAAUGAAGAAUGGUGUUUUGAUAAAAUAGCCAAAGACGGUGCUCUACGCAAGCGCAUGACAUUGAGAGGAAUCAACACUGUUGUAGAAAAAAGAAUAAGGGAAACACAAGCAGUUUGCAACUGCAUUUUGUUACCAAAUUACCGGCAACCAUCUUCACUAGCAGUCAGAUAAGCACCGAGGAUGGCACUCCUCUGAGGAUCGAACUAGUAGAUGGCAGGACCAAUGAGAGGGUUAUGAGUGGCCCUCUAUCUUCCAUAAAGCUCAAAAUUGUCAUCCUUGAUGGCGAUUUCGGGUCAGACGAGGGAGAGGAUUGGACCGAGAAGGAAUUCAAUUACAACAUCAUUUGCGAAAGGGAAGGGAGAAGGCCAUUGAUAAUCGGGGAGCCGACUGUGAUCUUGCAAGGGGGAAUUGUUUGCCUCCAUAAUUUAAUCAUCACUGACAGCUCGAGCUGGAUGAGAAGUCGGGAAAUGAGCUCAAGCUGUGCAAAAGGUUUCUGCAGAAAUAAGAAUAAGUGCAGUGAGAAGUGAAACUUUCAUUGUUAAAUAUCAUCGAGGAGAGUUGAACAAGAAGCACUAUCCACAAUAACUGAGCAACAAAGUAUGGCGUUUGCAAAAAAUAGCCAAAGACAGUGCUCUGCACAAGUGCAUGACUUCGAGAGGAAUCAACACUGUUCAAGAUUUCCUCCAGUUGUACAAAGCGGAUGCGCCUUUCUAAGAAACAAAGUGACUCUUACUCUUCGAGCACUGCUAAUUUCCCUUUUCUCCAGUUCACGUUAUUCUGAGCAUUGUUCAAUAUCAAAUCAUGCUACUUCUUUUGUGUGCGAUGUUAUUUUAGGUACUUGGAAAUGGGAUCACCAAGCGGACAUGGGAGACGAUCAUCAGACAUGCCAGCCCGUGUGAUCAACGAUGACAAGAUGUAUUUCUACCAAGCUUUGAACAAGGCCAGUAUAGUGUUCAAUUCAGUCGUGAAAGGUUCUCAAGCAGCACUCGAUGGCCAAAUUUACCAAUCGGUAGACAUAUUGGCCCACUCUCAGAAGAUUUUGUUGCAGAACUUGAAAUGGCUAGAUUACAAUAACAAGAAUCAAUGGCGGUGCUCAAUGCCCUGCCCAGCCUCUCUCUUCUGAGAGCCCCAACAAAUUUGCCUACAGAGCCGUCAAUCGGCCUGAGCCUGCCUCUUCAUCAUCUGUUUUACACAGAGCUAAACCAACAUAGACCAGAAGUGACUCCUGAAUUUAGUAACUCACUGGUUUCAGCAUCGUGCUGCUACAAUGUCACGGAGAUCAGACAAUUAGUUGUCUGGGGCCACAGUCAUAUCACUGCAAAAAUCUUUGAUCCGACUGUAAUUCAACAGCUUGGCAAGGGAGGACUUUUUGUCCAGUUUGAGUGCUGGUGAAAGCAGUCAUCUUCCUGGUUACACACAAGAUCCAUUUGCGCCGAACAUCCAUUUGUCUCCUGAAGAGCUUUUCCAAGUGCCAGCUCCAAUCCCUGGCAAUUUAAUGUGGACACCGGAGCAUACUUUCAUCAUUGAGUCGAGUAGCGGGGCAGAUUUUGGGAUCUGCCCAUCUCGCACGGGUUAUGGAGUCCAUAAUUCCAGGAUUGCAAGGGUCAAGGUGGCAUGGUGCAAGAUCCGUGAUGUGGUGAAGUGGGGAUUGGUUCAGCGCGUUGUGGCUGCAAAGAGAACAGCAAUGUUCAAUUGUGCAAGUUAUCCAGCUGUAUAAAUGGAGAGUCUGAUCCCCCAAAAGAAUAUUGGGUGCUUCAGGAGCGCGAAGCUCUCGCCCACACAGGCCAGUCAUCACACGCGAAGUACGAAACAAAAGGAAAUUCAUGAUACUUGAUGCGAGGAGAUUGUCUUGGGGGUAUGAGAAUGUCUAGUUCUAGGGGUAAGCUGCCCGGGAUGCAUCAUUGACUUAGUAUUAUGCAUGAUCACUGCGAUUUUCUCUAUUGUUUUUUGUUGAUUGUCCUUUCAUAUUUGAAUGAAGUUGUGCACCAUCAAGAUGGGGCUGCCAAUUGGACGUGUCUUCUCUCUAUGGGUCACGCAAGCUGAUCUUAGGAAGUACCUCCAUACAGGGGUUCUUCCUCAAGAAUUGUAAGGCUUUGGCUCUCUUCUUCAAGAAUUGUUUGGCAUUCUGUUUGUCCCAAAUACAUCAUCCCUUGAUUUGUCAGUUUACUGCUCUGAUUUGCUUAGUAGA